rnacentral:lncRNA from 1 species
UGCGAUUAAGUAUACAUUAAAUAACAAUCUAUAUUCCUUGACCAAUCCAAUUGACUCAAGGGGAUAUACCAACAAGGAUUUGCUCUACUUUCCCAAACCCCCAGACAUUCAAAAAAAAAAAGAUUUUCUAACUGUGAUGAGUUCAUUCUCCUAAUUUUUAUAAUAAGAAGAAAGUAUAAACAUUAAAAGUUUAUAAAUAAAAU